rnacentral:rRNA from 1 species
UGGGGAAUAUUGCACAAUGGGCGCAAGCCUGAUGCAGCCAUGCCGCGUGUGUGAAGAAGGCCUUCGGGUUGUAAAGCACUUUCAGCGGGGAGGAAGGCGAUAAGGUUAAUAACCUUGUCGAUUGACGUUACCCGCAGAAGAAGCACCGGCUAACUCCGUGCCAGCAGCCGCGGUAAUACGGAGGGCGCAAGCGUUAAUCGGAAUUACUGGGCGUAAAGCGCACGCAGGCGGUCUGUCAAGUCGGAUGUGAAAUCCCCGGGCUCAACCUGGGAACUGCAUUCGAAACUGGCAGGCUAGAGUCUUGUAGAGGGGGGUAGAAUUCCAGGUGUAGCGGUGAAAUGCGUAGAGAUCUGGAGGAAUACCGGUGGCGAAGGCGGCCCCCUGGACAAAGACUGACGCUCAGGUGCGAAAGCGUGGGGAGCAAACAGGAUUAGAUACCCUGGUAGUCCACGCCGUAAGCGAUGUCGAUUUGGAGGUUGUGCCCUUGAGGCGUGGCUUCCGGAGCUAACGCGUUAAAUCGACCGCCUGGGGAGUACGGCCGCAAGGUUA